UACGUAGGGUGCAAGCGUUGUCCGGAAUUAUUGGGCGUAAAGAGCUCGUAGGCGGUCUGUCGCGUCUGCUGUGAAAACUCGGGGCUUAACCCCGGGCCUGCAGUGGGUACGGGCAGACUAGAGUGCGGUAGGGGAGAUUGGAACUCCUGGUGUAGCGGUGGAAUGCGCAGAUAUCAGGAAGAACACCGAUGGCGAAGGCAGAUCUCUGGGCCGUAACUGACGCUGAGGAGCGAAAGCAUGGGGAGCGAACAGG
rnacentral:rRNA from 1 species